UACGGAGGGUGCGAGCGUUGUCCGGAAUCACUGGGCGUAAAGGGCGCGUAGGCGGCCUGAUAAGUAGGGGGUGAAAUCCUGCGGCUUAACCGCAGGGCUGCCUUCUAAACUGUCAGGCUAGAGCACAGUAGAGGCAGGUGGAAUUCCCGGUGUAGCGGUGGAAUGCGUAGAGAUCGGGAGGAACACCGGUGGCGAAGGCGGUUCUCUGGGCCUGUACUGACGCUGAGGAGCGAAAGCGUGGGGAGCGAACAGG
rnacentral:rRNA from 1 species